rnacentral:rRNA from 1 species
UACGAAGGGGGCUAGCGUUGCUCGGAAUCACUGGGCGUAAAGCGCACGUAGGCGGAUUGCUAAGUCAGGGGUGAAAUCCUGGAGCUCAACUCCAGAACUGCCCUUGAUACUGGCGGUCUCGAGUCCGGGAGAGGUGAGUGGAACUGCGAGUGUAGAGGUGAAAUUCGUAGAUAUCGGGAGGAACACCAGUGGCGAAGGCGACUACCUGGCCUGUUCUUGACGCUGAGGCGCGAAAGCUAGGGGAGCAAACGGG